rnacentral:misc_RNA from 1 species
GUCACUGCAUGUUACUCCUCAUGUGCGACUAUGGGUUCUGGAAGGUGAAUUCAUGUGUUGUUUUUUGUUUAUGAUGCAUUCUAUCUAUUUUAUUAAAGGGCACGAGUUUUAUUUCUGUGGUGAAUUUGUUGACUGCUCUCUGAAGUAGCACGAUCAAGUUCCAAUCUUAUAUUGAGUUUGGCAAUAUUGCUGUUUCAUUUCAGGGCACUAAUCAUUUUUAUUGUUCCAAUGAGAUUUCCCUUGAAAAAUGGAAAUUGGGAUGGGUGGGUUUAAAUGUCAAGACUAUUUCUUUAUCUAUGAACAGAUAACAUUUGUUUUAUUUUGGCCAAAUGCAUGUAG